rnacentral:misc_RNA from 1 species
GAACUGUGAAUGCAAGCCAAAGAAAAGGGGUCAUUAUAAGAAAUAUCCUGGUUCCUCAAGGUCCAAGCCUCCCUUCAAACAUCGCAAGGGAAAAAAAGCCAGUCAAAUACUUUAGAAAAAGAAGAAUGGGUACAAAGAAGUCUGAUCGUUAUUACAUUUGUGGAAAUCGAGGGCAUUAUGCAAAAAAACUAUCCCAAGAAUCCUUACAAGGUUGUUAAGCUUUUGCAGCAUAUUCAACAGGCUUCUCAUAUCUCUCUGGAACAUGAUGACAUUGAAUCUUUAUUUUCAGAACAAGAUGAGCCAGAUGAAGAAACUGUCUUCACUCUUGGGGAAGAUACUGAUUUUGACCAAGCCCAGUCUCUGUCUUCAUAAAGCUCAGAAUCCGACUCUGAAGCCUAUUACCCAUUCUACUUGGCCCAAAAUAUCCAAUCUUCUCGAACUACCUGCAGCCCAGACACUAUUCCUAUCCCUCUGGUCCCAUUACAUGUCUUGCCCAGUAAAUAUGAACGGCCCAUAUGUGUUAUUGGAUUUCUUGACACUGGAGCUCACAAAAGUAUGAUGAACCCAGCCAUACUCCCUCCAGAAUAUUGGGUUCCGCACACAUAAUAUUUUAAAGCAACUGAUGGGAAUGUCUUUAAGACUAACCUAAUCACCAAGCAACCCAUCGGUAUUCAGUUUUUUCCCACCUGCAUCCUUUGGACCAAGAUCAUUGGAUCAGACCUCCCUGAUAAAGACUUUUUAAUUGGGUUUGACUUGUACCAACAAGCAAAACAUUUGAAAAUCUUGCCAAAGGGAUUGAAAUACAAAAGAAACUUCUAGCCUUUCACCUCUGUUCCUAAACUAUAUUCCUUAACAGAUGCCUCAAUAGAAUUUCAAGAACACAAAGAACUUCUCCUAAAGUCUUGUGCAGAUUCUCAUGUACAGUUCCACCACCAUCACCCCUUAUGGA